rnacentral:rRNA from 1 species
AUAACGACUCUCGGCAACGGAUAUCUCGGCUCUCGCAUCGAUGAAGAACGUAGCGAAAUGCGAUACUUGGUGUGAAUUGCAGAAUCCCGUGAACCAUCGAGUCUUUGAACGCAAGUUGCGCCCCAAGCUCUAAGCCGAGGGCACGUCUGCCUGGGUGUCACGCACCGUCGCCCCCCCAACCCCCACGCCUCGCGCGCGGGGACGUGUUGCGGGGGGCGGAUACUGGCCUCCCGUGCGACGGGACGUCCGUCUCGCGGUUGGCCCAAAUACGAGUCCUCGGCAGCGGAUGCCGCGGCGUUCGGUGGUGGAUCAAGAAACCUCGAGCUCGCGCCGCGCGUACGCCGUCGGUUCAGGGCUCACGAACCCUGAGGCGUCUCGAUCCGAGACGCACGCAUCGCGACCCCA